rnacentral:piRNA from 1 species
UNGUUCUCUUGUUGCCUUGGAAAUCACUG